AUUGAACGCUGGCGGCAUGCCUAACACAUGCAAGUCGAGCGGAUGAAGGGAGCUUGCUCCCGGAUUCAGCGGCGGACGGGUGAGUAAUGCCUAGGAAUCUGCCUUGUCGUGGGGGAUAACGUCCGGAAACGGGCGCUAAUACCGCAUACGUCCUGAUGGAGAAAGUGGGGGAUCUUCGGACCUCACGCUCUCUGAUGAGCCUAGGUCGGAUUAGCUAGUUGGUGGGGUAAAGGCCUACCAAGGCGACGAUCCGUAACUGGUCUGAGAGGAUGAUCAGUCACACUGGAACUGAGACACGGUCCAGACUCCUACGGGAGGCAGCAGUGGGGAAUCUUGCGCAAUGGGCGAAAGCCUGAUCCAGCCAUGCCGCGUGUGUGAAGAAGGUCUUCGGAUUGUAAAGCACUUUAAGUUGGGAGGAAGGGCAGUAAGUUUAUACCUGGCUGUUUUGACGUUACCAACAGAAUAAGCACCGGCUAACUUCGUG
rnacentral:rRNA from 1 species